GGCUAACAGAUGAAGCAUGGAAAUGCUGUGUGGAGUGAGCUGAGCAGCCGUUCUCAGGAGAAAACAGACAAAUCCUCCUGCAUCCUGGUGAACCAGCUUUGUGGCCUGUUUUAUGUCAUCUUUGCUGAGAUCCAGUGGGUCACUCCUCCUGCUGGCUUUGUGAUACUGACAUUUCAGGCACUGGCGCAGAUACACUGGCCUUCCUGGCUGGGAUUCCACGGGUGGAGUGAGCAGUGCUGGCUUGGAGGAGUCAUGGCUGCACAGGGCCUGGGCUCUCAGCUGACCAACGCCUUGAUAGCCAGGAACAACCUGUCCUAACCCCAAAGGGCCCUCGCAGUACUGUUUGAAAUUGCUCUUGCCAUCUUUGGAACAGAUUCCUCAGUACGUUUCAGACCCAUUGUUGUGACUUUGGUUUCAAUCCAGGGACACAGCUUGGCCAACGGACCGUCUCAACAACAUCUAUGAUCGCUCUUUCCCAGAGACAGCAUCUCAGACACCGAUGCUGAAAGAGAAACAGCAGCCUGUCGCCAAGUGGUGGGAAAUAUCCAUUUGAACGGCAAUUUCAUAAGUAGCAGAUGAUUUUUAUUGUAAUUUUCUGGUGAGCCGUUUAAGUGGAGGCAGAGUCAGUUCUGAGGCAUCAAUGU